rnacentral:rRNA from 1 species
GGUGAACGCUGGCGGCGUGCCUAAUACAUGCAAGUCGAGCGAACGGACGAGAAGCUUGCUUCUCUGAUGUUAGCGGCGGACGGGUGAGUAACACGUGGAUAACCUACCUAUAAGACUGGGAUAACUUCGGGAAACCGGAGCUAAUACCGGAUGAUAUUUUGAACCGCAUGGUUCAAAAGUGAAAGACGGUCUUGCUGUCACUUAUAGAUGGAUCCGCGCUGCAUUAGCUAGUUGGUAAGGUAACGGCUUACCAAGGCAACGAUGCAUAGCCGACCUGAGAGGGUGAUCGGCCACACUGGAACUGAGACACGGUCCAGACUCCUACGGGAGGCAGCAGUAGGGAAUCUUCCGCAAUGGGCGAAAGCCUGACGGAGCAACGCCGCGUGAGUGAUGAAGGUCUUCGGAUCGCAAAACUCUGUUAUUAGGGAAGAACAUAUGUGUAAGUAACUGUGCACAUCUUGACGGUACCUAAUCAGAAAGCCACGGCUAACUACGUG